GAAGGAGGCUGGGCACAACGGAGCUUCUAACUUUGUUUGUGGGGGGUUCAAUUCCUUCUCUCUUUCU
rnacentral:tRNA from 1 species